rnacentral:rRNA from 1 species
AUUGAACGCUGGCGGCAGGCCUAACACAUGCAAGUCGAGCGAGCGGCGGACGGGUGAGUAAUGUCUGGGAAACUGCCUGAUGGAGGGGGAUAACUACUGGAAACGGUAGCUAAUACCGCAUACCAUCAGAUGUGCCCAGAUGGGAUUAGCUAGUAGGUGGGGUAACGGCGCACCUAGGCGACGAUCCCUAGCUGGUCUGAGAGGAUGACCAGCCACACUGGACGUUGUAACCGUGCCAGACUCCUACGUGGUGCAGCAGUGGGGAUUAGUGCACAAUGGGCGCAAGCCUGAUGCAGCCAUGCGGCGUGUGUGAAGAAGGCCUUAUGGUUGUAAAGCACUUUAAGCGAGGAGGCGUUACUCGCAGAAUAAGCACCGGCUAACUCUGUGCCAGCAGCCGCGGUAAUUC